AUGCCGCGUGAAUGAUGAAGGCCUUCGGGUUGUAAAGUUCUUUUAUUGAUGAAGAUAAUGACGGUAAUCAAUGAAUAAGCACCGGCUAACUUCGUGCCAGCAGCCGCGGUAAUACGAAGGGUGCUAGCGUUGUUCGGAAUGACUGGGCGUAAAGGGCGCGUAGGCGGUAGGAUACGUCUGAUGUGAAAUCCCCGGGCUUAACCUGCGAACUGCAUUGGAUACGGUUUUACUAGAGUCCGCGAGAGGAAGAUGGAAUUGUGCGUGUAGAGGUGAAAUUCGUAGAGAUGCACAAGAACACCGGUGGCGAAGGCGAUCUUCUGGAGCGGUACUGACGCUAAGGCGCGAAAGCGUGGGGAGCAAACAGGAUUAGAUACCCUGGCUAGUCCACGCUGUAAACGAUGAAUGUUAGAUGUCGGGGAGCAAUUUUCGGUGUCGCAGCUAACGCAAUAAACAUUCCGCCUGGGGAGUACGGUCGCAAGAUUAAAACUCAAAGGAAUUGACGGGGACCCGCACAAGCGGUGGAGUAUGUGGUUUAAUUCGAAGCAACGCGCAGAANCUCACCAACCUUUGACAUGUGACGUAUGGGGAUCAGAGAUGA
rnacentral:rRNA from 1 species